rnacentral:rRNA from 1 species
AUUGAACGCUGGCGGCAGGCCUAACACAUGCAAGGCGAGAGGGGCGGCGGACGGGGGAGUAAUGCCUGGGAAUCUGCCGGGUAGUGGGAGGUAAGGUCAGGAGAAGGGAGCUAAUACCGCAUACUAUCAGAUGAACCUAGGUCGGAUUAGCUAGUUGGUGGGGUAAAGGCCUACCAAGGCGACGAUCCGUAACUGGUCUGAGAGGAUGAUCAGUCACACUGGAACUGAGACACGGUCCAGACUCCUACGGGAGGCAGCAGUGGGGAAUAUUAGACAAUGGGCGAAAGCCUGAUCCAGCCCUGCCGCGUGUGUGAAGAAGGUCUUCGGAUUGUAAAGCACUUUAAGUUGGGAGGCGUUACCAACAGAAUAAGCACCGGCUUACUUCGUGCCAGCAGCCGCGGUAAUAC